rnacentral:tRNA from 1 species
GCGGAUGUAGCUCAGUUGGUAGAGCACGACCUUGCCAAGGUCGGGGUCGCGAGUUCGAGUCUCGUCAUCCGCUCCA